GAUCAUGGCUCAGAUUGAACGCUGGCGGCAGGCCUAACACAUGCAAGUCGAGCGGUAGCAGGCCUUCGGGCGCUGACGAGCGGCGGACGGGUGAGGAACACGUAGGAAUUUGCCUAGUAGUGGGGGAUAGCCCAGAGAAAUUUGGAGUAAUACCGCAUAUGCCCUGAGGGGGAAAGUGGGGGACCGCAAGGCCUCACGCUAUUAGAGAAGCCUGCGUCGGAUUAGCUAGUUGGUAGGGUAAAGGCCUACCAAGGCGACGAUCCGUAGCUGGUCUGAGAGGAUGAUCAGCCACACUGGGACUGAGACACGGCCCAGACUCCUACGGGAGGCAGCAGUGGGGAAUAUUGGACAAUGGGCGAAAGCCUGAUCCAGCCAUGCCGCGUGUGUGAAGAAGGCCUUCGGGUUGUAAAGCACUUUAAGUGGGGAGGAAAAGCGGUACGUGAAUAUCGUGCUGCCGUGACGUUACCCACAGAAUAAGCACCGGCAAACUCCGUGCCAGCAGCCGCGGUAAUACGGAGGGUGCGAGCGUUAAUCGGAAUUACUGGGCGUAAAGCGCACGUAGGCGGUCAUGUAAGUGGGAUGUGAAACCCCCGGGCUUAACCUGGGAAUUGCAUACCAGACUGCAAGGCUAGAGUAUGAGAGAGGGUGGUGGAAUUUCCGGUGUAGCGGUGAAAUGCGUAGAGAUCGGAAGGAACAUCAGUGGCGAAGGCGGCCACCUGGCUUAAUACUGACGCUGAGGUGCGAAAGCGUGGGGAUCAAACAGGAUUAGAUACCCUGGUAGUCCACGCCGUAAACGAUGAGAACUAGCCGUUGGAUUCCUUAGAGGAUUUAGUGGCGCAGCUAACGCGAUAAGUUCUCCGCCUGGGGAGUACGGCCGCAAGGUU
rnacentral:rRNA from 1 species